CUGGCUUGUUAGGCCCUUGUUUCUGCAGUAAGGAUAUUCAGGUGUGAGCUUGUAAGGAGCUGCCAGGUACCAGCCAGCAGGCUCAGCAUGGACAGGCUGGGACAAGCACUGCUCUGAGCCAAAUGAUACGAUGCAGAUCCCAAAUGAAGGUGAUGUGGCAUGCUAGCGGGCCGGCUCUUGCACGAAAGGAUGGGGAAAGGACUGGACAACCAUUUUCUUCUGUGCUGGUAAGGGUGUGUUCUUGUGCUGCUCGGGAUGUCUCCUUAUUGCCCCUGGAGUUCAGCAGGGCUGCUCCCGCUGCCUGGAGGAGCAGCAAGGCUGUCUGCAGCCAGACAGGGCUGCAGUUUUUAGUGCGUCUUGAUUCAUCUUACGUUGCUCACAGAAAUGGAUGUUAUUAUCCGCUCCUCAUUAACAGAACUUUUUCCAGAAUGCAUGCCAGGCUCUCCUUUGGCACUGCAAAGGUUAGGGUUCGCUUUGAUUCAUCAUAAUUGGAAAAAAAUGAGGAAGAUUAAAAGGGAUAUGACCGUCUCCUUUGGACUUUGCUCCGUCUUCAGCAGAAGUAGCAUCUCUACUGGCUCCAGUGGUGGAAGGAGGAAAAAAGGUCUCAGAUAAUGAGACUGGCGGCUUCGAUGUAAGUACUGCGACUGUUGCUUGAAGUAGAGAGCACCUAAUGAAAGCGCUGCCAGUUUCCAUUGCCUGGAAUUCAAACAGCCGUGUCCUCAGAGAUGGCCUCGGCGUGGCUCUCCUAGUCCUGGCCCUUUGGGAGUGGAGGAAGUGGGUGAUGUGUCGUGGACAUCCUGAGACCUGGGGGAUGGACAAACUUUCUGCUGAACAGAAGCAGGGAGGAAAAGCACUUCUUCACAGGGAUUAUCUGGGUGUCCAGGAACUGUGUGGAAUCGUUCAGGAUGCUGAAACAGUGUUUUACUGGCUUAUGUUCCUGCUGCUUCUGGUGGAGCUCGGGCACCCUCUGGGACCACAGCUCCAGCACCCGGGGGCAGUGGGGCAGCGGGGUGGGCCCAUGGGUGGGGGUGGCCCCUUCUGCAGGCCCCGCUCCUUCCACCCUGAGCAUAUUUCCCCUCUGACAGGCUCUGCUCUCUGAAACGAGCUCUGCUCUGGCUAGACCAAAACUUGCUGAAAAUCAGUCAAUUAAGAUAAUAGGCAGCACAUUCUCGCUCUAGGAAACGAGUAAGUAAAUGAGCAGCACAAAAAGUAUUGUAUUUUCCUCUGCAAAGCCACAGGUACUUAGAUUAAACGGAUCAAUAAGCCAUCUGUAUCACAGCGAGAACAGACAUAAAUCACUCAAAAAUUCAGCUUUUGAACAAGUUCUUGGGCACUUGGGCAAAGGCAGAGCUGCCAAGUGCUGCGGCUGGGAGCCAUCCUUGCAUGCUGCAGAUUUAAUGAUUGUAUCGAUGUCGUGGGAGAAUGAGGGAUGGGAAGCGGGGAUAGGCCAGCGGUGAUGAAGACUUAAAGUAACACAGAACAGAUGAAGUAGUUCAAAUUAUUCUCUGUGCAACGUGCUUAAAAUCCGCACGCUGGUUACGUUUCCGAGUCUGAGCAAAGCCCAGCGUGUGCGACUCGUUAAGCACAGUGAUGGGAGACAAACGCGUGCUCUCAGAUGUCCUAACCCAUCGCUGCUGUGCAGCCACGGGAACCCAUGAGCUGUAAGUGCUGCCCACGGCUGGAGGCUGUGCCAGCAGGGCUGCAGCCCGUGGGGGUCCCAGCAGUGGUGCUUGGGGGGCUGCCCAGGCACCUACUGGGCCAUUCGCGCUUCAAAAAGCAGCUCAUGAUAAUUUAAAGCAUUAAACUUGGCCCUUUGUCCUGCUGCCAGCUCGAGAGGUUUUAUACAGCUGCGUGCUGGCAGCUAAGUGUUGUUUUUCCCCCUUUUUGCUGUGUUACCCGCGCUGGGGAGACGAGGUGAAUGCACACACAGAGGAAACAUGAUGCUACACAACAUGGUAUUGAAAGCACACGGUGGAAACACUUUUUUUUUUUUAGCCUCUCUCCUCCUCCAGCUCUUCUCACCUCACUAACAGAGCUGCAAGAAGCAAACAGAGGCACCCAGGUGCGUGUGCUCAGCAGGAGCUGGAGGUGCAGAGCAGCCCCUGACCGUCACGUACUUUUUUUCCCCUUCCUUUGCCUUCUGCUAAAUUAAGUUUUAUGAGAGUGCUGGAUCCGUAAGCUUGCAAGGUUUCUGCUGAAGAGAUUUUGCAGGUCUGAAUGAUUCCUCUGGGAGACUGCUCUGCAGUUUGCAGCCUGGCGUAUGAAUCUCUCCUGUGAGUUUAAGGGAGAAGCAGCAAAGGGGAGGGUGGGAUUCACCCAUUGGUGACUUUAUCUGUUACUUCCAGAGGUCACAUCAGGAAAAUGUUCUAGCCGGCUGUGUUACCUGCUGCUCCAUCUUUGCGUUACGCAGCAUUUCUCAUGAGGAUAUUUUCAUGCCAUUUGUUCUUUGCUUACCAGAAAGCCUGAUGCUGGACAGGGAAGAUGCAUGGCUCACAGCUGCCUGCUGGAAUUUAUCUGUGGCUCGGAAAUAAAGUAUAAAACCAUGCCUUUAAUAAUGCAGGAUAGGGCUGUUCCUUAAGUGAUUUAUAAACUUCAUAGGUAGAGUGAGUCGCUGCUAAAGUAGAUUUACUGCUCUCUACAUGAGCAUCAUUGAAAUAAUAAGGCAAGCAUAUGCAAGGUUAAAAGAGAGUCCCCAUUUGUUUCAGCGUAGCUUGGAGGUAAAUCUAUCUUCUGUGAGGUAAAUCUAUCUGUCUUUGACUUUUGCUUGUGGGCAAGCAGAGCCUCUAGACAGAGAAUAAAAACAAGUGCUGUGAGGAUGACAGCGAGGGGCAGGACGGGGUGUGCCAGGCAACGCUGUGGAGCCAGGAAGUUUCUCUUGCCCAUCCUCCCCAGCAUGGCUCGUUAUCAUCCAGACAGCUGAGAACUCGGUGCAGACAUUGGGAUGGAGAGAGCUGCUGCCUGGCUGAGACUGGAAAAGGUCUGUACCUGGUUGGUGCUGACCGAGCCCAGCCACUGCAGCUCUUGUGUCACCUGGCUCCACCCCAAAGUCCUGGAAAAUUAAUCCUCCCUGACCAAGGGCAGCAGGAGAGGAGGCCUUGGGAGCUGGGAGGGUGGCUGAUGUGUCUCCUGAGAACCACAGGAGGGUUUGUGGUGGGGAGAGAAUGCUCCAGGGCAGCUCGUGCCUGGCCCUAGGACAGCGUGCGUGGUGCGUGCCCGCUGGGUGCACAGCUCUCCAGCAUGCAUGGGUGCUGAGCUGGCUGCUCCACGGGCACUGAGAGACAGCCCUGUGCUGCUGGAGCCCACCCUGCUCCCACACGGAUGCUCGCUGCGGGACCCAUCCCACUCCACCCGCACAGCCUCUGUCU